GGCUGGAAUUGCUUUGAGCAAGAAUUUUGUCAAGCUUGUAGCAUGGUACGACAACGAAUGGGGUUACAGUACACGAGUGGUGGACUUGAUUAUUCACAUGUCAUCAGUUCAGUAAAUGUGGCAGUUCACUCGUUGGUGGCGCUGCUGGUGAUGAUCCUGUUCUUCGUGGUUAGAUAAAAUAGCUUAGAAUAAAGUGUUCUCUCGGACCACAAACGCGCAGAUGUUUGAUGUACUUUGGGGCUAUACUCUUGUUUAGAUGUUCAACUGGAUAGUAAACCUGUUCACUUUCCGAGAAUGAGUCUUAGUAACUCUGGUAUAUGUGUUACUCUUGUUUCGUUCUGUUAUGAAUGUAUAAUAACUUUGAACCUUGUUUAGUAAUCUUGCUUCCCU
rnacentral:misc_RNA from 1 species